ACUUCUGGGCAGAGGCGUGUCCAGGUCGUGAGACUUCCCGGCACUCUCUCCCCUUGCUGCUCUGAUCCGGGAAGCUUGCACUAAUACAGAAGUGAAACAUGGAGCUCUCACAUGCAGGACAACCUUCCCAAUAAGAAACUGAGGCACAAAGGUGUUAAGUAACUUUCCCAGGAGCACACAGCUGAUGGCUGGUGGAGCUGAUUUUCCACCUCUGGCAGUUCGACUUCAGAACCUGUGCACUAACGCUUACACAACGGUUUCCGGUUUGCACAGCACGUUUCCACCAGUUAUCUCAUCCGAUUUGCAUACCACACCUAGCAACUCUAAAUGGUAGGAUUCGUGUCAACUCCAUUUCCUAGAUGAGGAAACUACGGAAACAAAUCUCAGCUUCCUGAGGACUUGAACAUCUCAAAGGUUCUUCCUAGCAAUGACUUCAUUUUUCAGAAACUACAGCCAAGAGCCAGAGAGAGGAAAUAUCUUGCUUAUGGUCCCACAACUAGUGAGUAGAACACCUGAACUCAGUAGAUCCUCAUAGAAAACAAUUCUUUCCUUCCAAGAAAUUAACAUACAAACAUUCAACUGGGCACUCUGGGAAGCCAGAACACCCAGCCACUCCACAUUUUAAUUGCUCUAUAUCAACAGUCUUCUGCUUCCGAGGAUGCCAGUCGGAACGUCUCCUGCACAUCUCACAGAGGACACAUAUUCUGACACCAAGGAGAAAAUGAAAGCAACUCCCUGUCCAAGACUCAUAAAGUCAGCGCCUCUGCAUAAAUAUACAGGUUUCCCUGAAGCUGGAGACUCGCUGAAUGGCAGAGAUGGUGUACACAGAACGGAGACCUGAGCUGAGCUCAGGUUCCUUCCCUCCCCACCCCCUCCCCCACCCCCUGCCUCUAGGAGAGGGCAGAGGAGCCUGGCUCCUGGCUCAGAUUCUCCUAAGAGCGCUGCAGGCCUGGGUGGCUCAGCAAGUUCAGCAUCCGACUCUGGACUUCUGCUCAGGUCGUGAUCUCACGGUUCAUGAGAUCGAGCCCUGCGUCAGGUGCUGUGCUGACAGCAUGAAGCCUGCUUGGGAUUCUCUCUCUCUCUCUCUCUCUCGAUAAAUAAACAAACAAAAAGGAAACAAAAAGAACUUCAGGUGUCUCUCGUGCUCUCAGAGCUCUGAAGCUCCUCAGAUUCCAUCCUCUUCCACCGGGACCCUGCUUCCCUCUCUUCUCUGGAGCCGCCAACAUUCUCUCUUCCUUCUGGAGAGCUCAGUCACCCCAUCCCCCCUGCGGGCUGUGAGGAAGUCACCAUCUACCAGCUCCACAGACACACUCUUAUUUGCUGCCCCUAAAAUUAAGCCCUUGACCCUUCUCUUAUGUGAGUCGUACUGGGAGAUUUUAACACAAAGGCCAUUUGGCUGAGAGGCUUUUGGCGUUACUGAGAGAGGAACGGACAGGGGGCCACUGCAGGGCCUCCCUCACACAGCAACUCCCAGGCCUUGUUAAGGACCUUGUACUUACCCAGAAGGCAAAGGGAAGCCAAUGAGUCAUUUUAAGCAGGAGUGCAGCAAGAUCCCAUCUGGGUUCUAGAAAAACCACUCUUGUGGCCAAGGGAAAGUUGGGGAGGACAAGGGACAAGACUAGAGACAAAGGGCAAUCAUUUGGGCUGCUUUGUCAGGUAAGGAGCUCCUUGUCACUGAAGCAUGCAAACGAGAUAGAGAAGCUAUAAGGAAGAUUCCUGCAAAGACACACAGUUGGACUAGCUCGUGCCUGAGGUCCCUUCCAGCUUGGAACCACCAAGAGAAAACCUCCCUGCCCCAACCCAAACUCCACUCCUCUUAAGCUCACAAGCUGGGACUGCAGUGUCCCCAUCCAUGCCUGAGUAGGUUUCUGUCUCCAUGGCAUAUUUGAGGUGCUCAGCCAGUGCCCCCCAUGGGGACAAGGGGCGGUCCCAUUUUGUUGUGCAACAGCUCAUAAAUCCAGGAAUUACAAACAAAGAGAAUUCUGUUAUAGGUAUAUGCCAUUUGAAAUACAAUCUCUGCAAGGGCUUUAUGUUUGUCAUGAAUUUUAUAAAUUGUUGCAGUAAUUAACAGGGCAUAAAACAGGCUUCCUACCCCAUCCGGGAAGGCCUUCCUGAAUGCUCCAUUGUCAGAUGUGCCUCUCAGGCCCUCAGAAUGGCGGUGCCCUGGGUGAUGCUGGGUGUGGGAUUGGGGGUGGGGGCUGCAACCCCGGGAAAAACGCCUUCAUUCACGGGCGGUAGUUUAAUGGGCUCAUUUUAGGUGGCUUAGAGAAUGACAUCAAGAUUUAUCUCCUGGGCCCUUCCCUCAAUAAAUUAGAAUGGGGCCCGGGGCCGGGAGACAAUUAAGACCCUCUCCCACGUUUCCAUCCAAAGCUGGGCAAUGAGAAGUGUUUUCUUCGUUGCUCUGACUGCAUGCGUUUGGGGGAUUUUGCCACUUUUUCCCCCCUUGUUUUCUUUCCCUCUGGGAAAACCGUCAAAUGCUGUAUGGAAAAUAAAGACCCCAAUUCAUGA